GACGAACGCUGGCGGCAUGCCUAACACAUGCAAGUCGAGCGAGUUGAUCCCUUCGGGGUACACGAGUGGCGAACGGGUGAGUAACACGUGGGUGAUCUGCCCUGCACUUCGGGAUAAGCCUGGGAAACUGGGUCUAAUACCGGAUAGGACCCUGGGAUGCAUGUCCUGGGGUGGAAAGCUUUUGCGGUGUGGGAUGGGCCCGCGGCCUAUCAGCUUGUUGGUGGGGUGAUGGCCUACCAAGGCGACGACGGGUAGCCGGCCUGAGAGGGUGACCGGCCACACUGGGACUGAGAUACGGCCCAGACUCCUACGGGAGGCAGCAGUGGGGAAUAUUGCACAAUGGGCGCAAGCCUGGUGCAGCGACGCCGCGUGAGGGAUGACGGCCUUCGGGUUGUAAACCUCUUUCAGCACCGACGAAGCGCAAGUGACGGUAGGUGCAGAAGAAGGACCGGCCAACUACGUGCCAGCAGCCGCCGUAA
rnacentral:rRNA from 1 species